GGGCCUGUAGCUCAGAGGAUUAGAGCACGUGGCUACGAACCACGGUGUCCCUCCUCGCCCA
rnacentral:tRNA from 1 species